CACGUAGGGCGCAAGCGUUAUCCGGAAUUAUUGGGCGUAAAGAGCUCGUAGGCGGUUUGUCGCGUCUGCCGUGAAAGUCCGGGGCUCAACUCCGGAUCUGCGGUGGGUACGGGCAGACUAGAGUGAUGUAGGGGAGACUGGAAUUCCUGGUGUAGCGGUGAAAUGCGCAGAUAUCAGGAGGAACACCGAUGGCGAAGGCAGGUCUCUGGGCCACUACUGACGCUGAGAAGCGAAAGCAUGGGGAGCGAACAGG
rnacentral:rRNA from 1 species